rnacentral:ncRNA from 2 species
UUAGACCACUGGAAGUGCCUUUAUGACAAAAGGCUGAGACGAGCGUGAUACGCUAGAAUUCCUUGAACCUGAUCCAGUUUGUACUGGCGUAGGAAAAGUGGCGUUAUAAACCG